rnacentral:rRNA from 1 species
UACGAAGGGGGCUAGCGUUGUUCGGAAUUACUGGGCGUAAAGCGCGUGUAGGCGGGCUUUUAAGUCAGGGGUGAAAUGCCAAGGCUCAACCUUGGAACUGCCUUUGAUACUGGAAGUCUUGAGUCCGGGAGAGGUGAGUGGAACUGCGAGUGUAGAGGUGAAAUUCGUAGAUAUUCGCAAGAACACCAGUGGCGAAGGCGGCUCACUGGCCCGGUACUGACGCUGAGGUGCGAAAGCGUGGGGGAGCAAACAGG